rnacentral:rRNA from 1 species
GACGAACGCUGGCGGCGUGCCUAAUACAUGCAAGUAGAACGCUGAAGGAGGAGCUUGCUUCUCUGGAUGAGUUGCGAACGGGUGAGUAACGCGUAGGUAACCUGCCUGGUAGCGGGGGAUAACUAUUGGAAACGAUAGCUAAUACCGCAUAAUAGCAGUUGUUGCAUGACAACUGUUUGAAAGGUGCAAUUGCACCACUACCAGAUGGACCUGCGUUGUAUUAGCUAGUUGGUGGGGUAACGGCUCACCAAGGCGACGAUACAUAGCCGACCUGAGAGGGUGAUCGGCCACACUGGGACUGAGACACGGCCCAGACUCCUACGGGAGGCAGCAGUAGGGAAUCUUCGGCAAUGGACGGAAGUCUGACCGAGCAACGCCGCGUGAGUGAAGAAGGUUUUCGGAUCGGAAAGCUCUGUUGUAAGAGAAGAACGAGUGUGAGAGUGGAAAGUUCACACUGUGACGGUAUCUUACCAGAAAGGGACGGCUAACUACGUG